rnacentral:rRNA from 1 species
AGAGUUUGAUCCUGGCUCAGAACGAACGCUGGCGGCAUGCCUAACACAUGCAAGUCGAACGGUAACAGGUCUUCAGAUGCUGACGAGUGGCAGACGGGUGAGUAAUGCGUAGGAAUCUGUCUUUUAGUGGGGGACAACCCAGGGAAACUUGGGCUAAUACCGCAUGAGCCCUGAGGGGGGAAAGCGGGGGAUCUUCGGACCUCGCGCUAAGAGAGGAGCCUACGUCCGAUUAGCUAGUUGGCGGGGUAAAGGCCCACCAAGGCGACGAUCGGUAGCUGGUCUGAGAGGACGACCAGCCACACUGGGACUGAGACACGGCCCAGACUCCUACGGGAGGCGAC